rnacentral:rRNA from 1 species
AUGGCUCAGAACGAACGCUGGCGGCAUGGAUUAGGCAUGCAAGUCGAACGGGAGCAGCAAUGCUCCAGUGGCGCAAGGGUGAGGAACACGUGAACAACCUGCCUUCGAGUUGGGGAUAGCUUCUGGAAACGGGAGAUAAUACCGAAUAACAUCGCCGGAUCGCAUGAUCUGGUGAUCAAAGCAGCAAUGCGCUUGAAGAGGGGUUCGCGUCCCAUUAGCUAGUUGGUGAGGUAACGGCCCACCAAGGCGAUGAUGGGUAGCUGGUCUGAGAGGACGAUCAGCCACAUUGGGACUGAGAUACUGCCCAGACUCCUACGGGAGGCUGCAGUCGAGAAUUUUGGGCAAUGGACGAAAGUCUGACCCAAGCAAUGCCGCGUGCGGGAUGAAGGUCUUCGGAUUGUAAACCGCUGUCAAGAGGGACGAAAUUUGACGGUACCUCUGGAGGAAGCCACGGCUAACUACGUGCCAGCAGCGGC